UCGGAGGCAGCAGUAAGGAAUAUUGCACAAUGGGCGAAAGCCUGAUGCAGCAACGCCGCGUGAGUGAUGACGGCCUUCGGGUUGUAAAGCUCUGUCUUCGGGGACGAUAAUGACGGUACCCGAGGAGGAAGCCACGGCUAACUACGUGCCAGCAGCCGCGGUAAUACGUAGGUGGCAAGCGUUGUCCGGAUUUACUGGGCGUAAAGGGAGCGUAGGCGGAUUUUUAAGUGGGAUGUGAAAUACCCGGGCUUAACCUGGGUGCUGCAUUCCAAACUGGAAGUCUAGAGUGCAGGAGGGGAAAGUGGAAUUCAUAGUGUAGCGGUGAAAUGCGUAGAGAUUAUGAAGAACACCAGUGGCGAAGGCGACUUUCUGGACUGUAACUGACGCUAAGGCUCGAAAGCGUGGGGAGCAAACAGGAUUAGAUACCCCCGUAGUCC
rnacentral:rRNA from 1 species